rnacentral:lncRNA from 1 species
CGAAUAAGAUAUUCUCUUGUAUGCUUCCUGUCUGUAUCCAAGCUGUUUGGGAAACAUAGGCGAUGCUGCCAUGAACCUGAACCUGUAGUUCAUCAAGGUGAAAUGAAACCAUGCAUAUUACGGAUGACUGUUGCAUCAAAAACAUGUAUUCGCAUAAUCUGAAUCCUGAUGUAGUGUAUUGAUUCGACCCAUUAGUUGUUUUAGGGUUUGAUUCAAACUCGUUAAUGAAGAUUCAUAUUUUAAGAUAAAAAUUGAUAUUUUUGUUUCUGGCAGGGUUUGGAAAUACCUACAUUUCCCCGAGUGUUUGGGACCUCUCCGAGAAUCGCUGCCAAAAGGGUUGAUUUCCCAGAGCCAACUUCACCACAAACGGCAACCUUUGCACCAGGUCUGAUUUCCAAAUUCACAUUCUUGAGUGUAGGCUUUAAAGAGUUCUUCUCUUCCCAUGAAAAAUCUGCAGACUUGAUUGAAAUGGCAUGGUGGCUGCUGUCAACUCCUCCUCCUCCCAGAUUGCUCUUUUCCCUGACAUUCACAUUCUCCAACUCCGGAGCCUCGAGGAACCUCACAAUCCGAGCAAACGCCACCUUCGCUUGGAUCACCACGCCGAUAACGUCAGGGAUGGACCUAACAGGUUCCUGAACAAGCCUCAACGUCGCCACGAAAGUGAAGACAUUGUUCGCAUGGAGCGGAACUUUGAGAAAGUAACAGGCACCAAAAGUUGCAGUGGAGACCAAAACAGGAGAAGACCAGAACAGAACACUGUUGUAAGACUUCCUCAACUGCACAGCUCUUAGCCACGUAUAUUCGACUUCCCUCAACUUCUCUAUAACAGUUUUGAAGUGUGUUUCCCAAGCAUACAGC